GCCGCCCCCGCGACCCGCGCCCGGCCACUCCCGGGGCUUCUGGGCUCAGAGGCAGCCGAUGUGAAGGGAUGCUGCAUCAGGUUUUCAUGAGCAGUCUGCAGUGAGAACCAAGCUCACUCGGAGCACUUGGAACACUUGGGGUCUGGCCUCAGCACCGAAGGCCUGUGGGUACGGGGGUUCCGGAGGACCUGCUGCUUAUUCGAGGAUGGCCUUUGCAGACCGUCUGAGACCUGUGUAGAUGUGACCUGGAACCAAACUCACAAUAUCUCCAAGAACCAUUUGGAGCAUUUCUCUGGGGGAAGAUGAACUGAAAGUGCCAAUUACAGAGUUUUCUACACUGUCCAGGACCCCUGGCCUUCCUACCAUUGAUCUGAAAGUUUAAUCAACCGUUUGAUGAAUGAGCAGAUUCCAUGUAUGGAGUCCCGCAGUGUGCUGUGCCUCUCUGUCUGGGUUCUGGGUUUGCUGUGAUGAAUGGCCAGCUGUGAAUGGGUGAUGCUGCCAGCUCUGCGCAGACGGGCUAGAUUUUCUGAGCCUACGACUGUCCCCAUGUUUGAGGAAUGCACUUUGCAGUUUAUGAAGCAACCACUACACAGAGUUGGGAAAUCUUUCCUCCUCCUUUCCAGAAUCCACUCCAUGGUGGUUGCAUUGGAGGAGACUGGAAGUUGGCAUUGGGGUCAGGAGCCGUUAACAUUUUCAGCCGUGACCAAGAGACCAGAGAUGGCGUCUCAUCUGAAGGAAAGUGCGCAGGAGACACAGAACUAACUUCCCUUAAGGCCCUUUCACCUUGUUCUUCAAGCACUUCUUCAAAGUCCUAAUUUCUAAAACUCAAGAGAAGGUGUAAAAAUCCAUCUAUGCAGACUCAGAGGAGAAUUGGAACACUUCCAGAUGGAAGAAAUUCAGUCACAGACACGUGAAGUUUUGACCUUGCUGUGAGAAUUCAGGAUGUGAAUAAAACACUCCAGAGGAUUAAAAACAUGAUUUUUCCUGUUUUUAUCGUAAUUCCCUGGGAGACUAGAUUUAACACCUUGGAGAAGGGAGGUUCUAGAGUGGAUGCCAUCGUGAUGUAAUAACUGCGGUGCUGCUCGCUGGCUCCCCCUGCC
rnacentral:lncRNA from 1 species